GGGGAUGUGGCUCAGUGGUAGAGCACUUGCCAAGCAUGUGGGAGCCCCUGGGUUCAAUCCCCAGCACCACA
rnacentral:tRNA from 1 species